AGGACGAACGCUGGCGGCGUGCUUAACACAUGCAAGUCGAGCGAGGCCCGUCCUUCGGGACGGUGCCCUAGCGGCGAACGGGUGAGUAACACGUGGGCAACCUGCCCCUAGCACUGGGAUAACUCCGGGAAACCGGGGCUAAUACCGGAUAUGACCUUUGAGGGCAUCCUCUUUGGUGUAAAGGAUUCUGGCUAGGGAUGGGCCCGCGGCCUAUCAGCUUGUUGGUGGGGUAAUGGCCUACCAAGGCGACGACGGGUAGCCGGCCUGAGAGGGCGACCGGCCACACUGGGGACUGAGACACGGCCCAGACUCCUACGGGAGGCAGCAGUGGGGAAUAUUGCACAAUGGGCGAAAGCCUGAUGCAGCGACGCCGCGUGAGGGAUGACGGCCUUCGGGUUGUAAACCUCUUUCAGCAGGGACGAAGCGAAAGUGACGGUACCUGCAGAAGAAGCACCGGCCAACUACGCGCCAGCAGCCGC
rnacentral:rRNA from 1 species